rnacentral:tRNA from 1 species
AUUAACUGAGCUUAUAAGGUGAUUAAGCAUUUGGCUGCUAACCAAAAGGUUGGGAGUUUGAAUCUACCAGCCACUG